GCCCGGCUGACGCAAUUGGUUAGCGUGUUCGGCUUUUAUGCAAUUGUCGGAACCGAAAAGUUCAGGGUUCGAAUCCCUGGUCGGGCG
rfam:Aspergillus zonatus CBS 506.65 unplaced genomic scaffold ASPZOscaffold_27, whole genome shotgun sequence.